GCGAAGGUGGCGAAAUUGGUAGACGCACCAGGUUUAGGUCCUGACGCCCGUUUAGGGUGUGCGGGUUCGAGUCCCGCCCUUCGCACCA
rnacentral:tRNA from 1 species